GAAAAUCCGUUGGCUUUAUUGACUGUGAGGGUUCAAGUCCCUCUACCCCCA
rnacentral:tRNA from 1 species